rnacentral:rRNA from 1 species
AACGAACGCUGGCGGCAUGCCUAACACAUGCAAGUCGAACGAGACCUUCGGGUCUAGUGGCGCACGGGUGCGUAACGCGUGGGAACCUGCCCUUAGGUUCGGAAUAACUCCCCGAAAGGGGUGCUAAUACCGGAUAAUGUCUUCGGACCAAAGAUUUAUCGCCUUUGGAUGGGCCCGCGUUGGAUUAGCUAGUUGGUAGGGUAAAAGCCUACCAAGGCGACGAUCCAUAGCUGGUCUGAGAGGAUGAUCAGCCACACUGGGACUGAGACACGGCCCAGACUCCUACGGGAGGCAGGAGGGGGGAAUAUUGGACAAUGGGCGAAAGCCUGACCCAGCAAUGCCGGGGGGGUGAUGAAGGCCUUAGGGUUGAAAAGCUCUUUUACCCGGGAUGAUAAUGACAGUACCGGGAAAAUAAGCCCCGGCUAACUCCGG